GACGAACGCUGGCGGCGUGCCUAAUACAUGCAAGUAGGACGAGUUGCGAACGGGUGAGUAACGCGUGGUAACCUACCUAUUAGAGGGGGAUAACUAUUGGAAACGAUAGCUAAUACCGCAUACUAGUAGAUAGACCUGCGGUGUGUUAGCUAGUAGGUGGGGUAAUGGCUCACCUAGGCGACGCUCCCUAGCUGGUCUGAGAGGAUGACCAGCCACACUGGAACUGAGACACGGUCCAGACUCCUACGGGAGGCAGCGGUGGGGAAGAUUGCACAAUGGGGGCAAGCCUGAUGCAGCCAUGCCGCGUGUUGAGAAGGCCUUCGGGUUGUAAAGCACUUUCAGCGAGGAGGCGUUACUCGCAGAAGAAGCACCGGCUAACUCCGUGCCAGCCGCCGCGGUAAUUC
rnacentral:rRNA from 1 species